ACUUAAAUUGAAGAGUUUGAUCAUGGCUCAGAUUGAACGCUGGCGGCAGGCCUAACACAUGCAAGUCGAGCGGUAGCACAGAGAGCUUGCUCUCGGGUGACGAGCGGCGGACGGGUGAGUAAUGUCUGGGAAACUGCCUGAUGGAGGGGGAUAACUACUGGAAACGGUAGCUAAUACCGCAUAAUGUCGCAAGACCAAAGUGGGGGACCUUCGGGCCUCAUGCCAUCAGAUGUGCCCAGAUGGGAUUAGCUUGUAGGUGGGGUAACGGCUCACCUAGGCGACGAUCCCUAGCUGGUCUGAGAGGAUGACCAGCCACACUGGAACUGAGACACGGUCCAGACUCCUACGGGAGGCAGCAGUGGGGAAUAUUGCACAAUGGGCGCAAGCCUGAUGCAGCCAUGCCGCGUGUGUGAAGAAGGCCUUCGGGUUGUAAAGCACUUUCAGCGGGGAGGAAGGCGGUGAGGUUAAUAACCUCAUCGAUUGACGUUACCCGCAGAAGAAGCACCGGCUAACUCCGUGCCAGCAGCCGCGGUAAUACGGAGGGUGCAAGCGUUAAUCGGAAUUACUGGGCGUAAAGCGCACGCAGGCGGUCUGUCAAGUCGGAUGUGAAAUCCCCGGGCUCAACCUGGGAACUGCAUUCGAAACUGGCAGGCUAGAGUCUUGUAGAGGGGGGUAGAAUUCCAGGUGUAGCGGUGAAAUGCGUAGAGAUCUGGAGGAAUACCGGUG
rnacentral:rRNA from 1 species